rnacentral:lncRNA from 1 species
AACAGUCCUGCACAAUUAAAAAAAAGAUAAACUUUAAAUACCAUCUCCGUGGUUUCACAUUUUCUCACUCUAAUACCCCGUGGUUUAAAGUGUAGCAAGUUAGUAUUCCUUGGUUUCAUUUUUAUCUUUUCAUCAGCUUUUUUGUUAAUAUUCUAUUAAAUUAUAUACAAAAAAUUUCAGAUACUCCACGUAGGUUUAUCGAAUAUUCACUUUAAUAUCCUUUAGUUUUAACUUUUUAAUUGAUUUAACAAAAAAAAUUAGUGAAAUCGAUAAUAAAAAGAUAAAAAUAAAACUACAUGACACUAAAUUGAUACACUUUAAAUCACAGAAUACUAAAAGGAGAAAAUGUAAAAUGAGUGGAAUCGAUAAUAAAAAUAUAAAAAUAAAACCACAGGACACUAAAUUAAUAUACUUUAAAUCACAAAAUACUAAAAGAAAAAAGUAUAAAAAGUGUAAAAUCACAGAAGGGAUAUUUGAAGUUUUCUCAUUAAAAAAAUAGAUGAAGCUGGUAACAUACAUGUUCAACUACUAACAAAUGGUGCUAGUGACUGUUUUGAUUUUAAUAUUUACGUUUAAAUUUAUUAAACCCCUGCUUGUGUAACAUUUUUAGUUAAUUCAUUCAGCCUGAUCACCAACACAAUCAUAUUAUUAUCACUUCACCUCUACAUGACUUUUCGUUUUUGUGUCGACCAAUGACAUUAACAAAUCUAUAUUUACUCUGGCCUAUCACACUCCACAAUAUAAUUAUAAUUAAUAUCCACUAAAUCUAAUCACCUUUUAGCUAAUACUCGAGAAAUAUAUAAAUUAAUUAUAUAUAUAUAUAUA